AUCCAGCUGACGAGUCCGAAAUGAGACGAAACAUGCGUCAAACUGGAU
rnacentral:hammerhead_ribozyme from 1 species